rnacentral:tRNA from 1 species
GUCCAGGGUAGCCUAGUGGUCAUGGCAUCUUCCGGUAAGCGGAAGGUCGUGGGUUCGAUUCCCAUCCCUUGACA